CCGUUCAAAGAUUCAUUUCUAUUUAACUCAUUUACACCCUUUGACGUAUAAAUACGUCAAUUAGCGCAUAGCCGUUCCCUCCCAAUGACGUAUUAAUACGUCAAUCACGUUUUUUCAUGGGGGAGGGUGCAAGAGAGUCUGAUGCAACUUCUCACCAAAGGAUUAGGCUUGACGGCAAUGUUAAAUAGCAAAAAAAUGGCCAUCGGGUAGCAGUGGUGCAAAAAUCCACGAGGAUCACGCAGCAGAAGUAGUAGAAAGGGCGUAUAGUGGAGGAGGGGCGUAUGUGGAUCGUGGAUUGGAACGUUAGCAACUAGCAACGAUGGAGAAAAGGAAACAACUAACUAAAAAUGAUUGUUUUUUUCGGUAUAAAAGCGUCCUCGAAACAAAACAACAAAGGAGAUGACGCUUUGGUCACGUAAUCGAAAGCAGCACACGUCAAACGAACGUCAGCCUGCGCAAACAUGGCGUGCUACACUCGGCCCGCAUAGCUCACGCCGAGUUUCGAGCUCAUCUGAUGAAGAUGAACAUGCUCCACGUCAGGGACCAUCGCUUGGUAGAGCAUUUUGUGCCUCCCCGUGGCGCACAUUGCCCACAAAUCGUCUCCCCGGCGACUUCCAGCGAUGACGGCAAAGAGGCUGCAUUGCUUCGCAUGGCCGACGCCGGGCACACGUCAGCGAUUCGCUGGAAUCAUCUCGUAAUGACGACGGCGAAAACGAUGAAUUGGAGAGCGAUUUGGAUCCCGAUCUGUCGGACGAAUACGUGCCUUCGGACAUAACGGAAAGCAGCUGAGAGUUCUCGCCAGAGCCGCUGGAACGAGGAGAUUGUUCAACCAGAAGCCAAAAGAUGACGACUCCUUGCUUUGGUGGUGGAAAGAAAGGUCGUGCAUCUGGAUGUGGUGGGAUGAAUCGAUGUGGUGACAAACUGGAUGGAGGCCAAAAAUCAUCCUCUCCACAGCUGCACUUUCGUUCAUUUUUCAAUUUGCACUUUUGUUCAAAGUUCAAUAGUUUUGUUGUGUGCAAAUAAAUUAUUUUGCUACAAAAACAGUAUUUGUAAUGUUCUUUUGUAGGAGGAACACAUUAUUGAGGUAUUUGAGCUGUCACAAAAGC